rnacentral:rRNA from 1 species
AUUGAACCGCUGGCGGAAUGCUUUACACAUGCAAGUCGAACGGCAGCACGGAGAGCUUGCUCUCUGGUGGCGAGUGGCGAACGGGUGAGUAAUAUAUCGGAACGUAUCCAGUAAUGGGGGAUAACGAGUCGAAAGAUUCGCUAAUACCGCAUACGCCCUACGGGGGAAAGCAGGGGAUCGUAAGACCUUGCGUUAAUGGAGCGGCCGAUAUCUGAUUAGCUUGUUGGUGAGGUAAAGGCUCACCAAGGCGACGAUCAGUAGCUGGUUUGAGAGAACGACCAGCCACACUGGAACUGAGACACGGUCCAGACUCCUACGGGAGGCAGCAGUGGGGAAUUUUGGACAAUGGGGGCAACCCUGAUCCAGCCAUUCCGCGUGAGUGAAGAAGGCCUUCGGGUUGUAAAGCUCUUUCGCAAGGGAAGAAAACUUAUGAUCGAAUAAAUCAUGAGGUUGACGGUACCUUGAUAAGAAGCACCGGCUAACUACGUGCCAGCAGCCGCGGUAAUACGUAGGGUGCGAGCGUUAAUCGGAAUUACUGGGCGUAAAGCGUGCGCAGGCGGUUUUGUAAGUCGGAUGUGAAAUCCCCGGGCUCAACCUGGGAACUGCGUUCGAAACUGCAAGGCUAGAGUGUGUCAGAGGGGGGUAGAAUUCCACGUGUAGCAGUGAAAUGCGUAGAGAUGUGGAGGAAUACCAAUGGCGAAGGCAGCCCC